AUUGAACGCUGGCGGCAGGCUUAACACAUGCAAGUCGAGCGAGCGGCGGACGGGUGAGUAAUGUCUGGGAAACUGCCUGAUGGAGGGGGAUAACUACUGGAAACGGUAGCUAAUACCGCAUACUAUCGGAUGUGCCCAGAUGGGAUUAGCUUGUAGGUGGGGUAAUGGCUCACCUAGGCGACGAUCCCUAGCUGGUCUGAGAGGAUGACCGGCGACACGGGAACUGAGACACGGUCCAGAGUCCUACGGGAGGCAGCAGGGGGGAAUAUUGCACAAUGGGCGCAGGCCUGAUGCAGCCAGGCCGCGUGUGGGAAGAAGGCUUUAGGGUUGUAAAGCACUUUCAGCGAGGAGGCGUUACUCGCAGAAGAAGCACCGGCUAACUCCGUGCCAGCAGCCGCGGUAAUAC
rnacentral:rRNA from 1 species